rnacentral:lncRNA from 1 species
CCACCCACACAAAAAAUCCCACACCAACGCACCGAGACCUGCAUACUUCCGCAGAGGAAUAAAAAACGAAACACAAAUACUCCCACACCCAAACCCACACAAGAAACAACGCACUGAGAUCUGCAUACUUCGACAGAGAGAAUAAAAAGGAAACACAAAAAUUCCCACACCCACUGAGAUCUGCACACUUACACAGAGAAAAGAAAACAUAAAAAUCAACCCGCACAAUGUACGAAAAAACGAGAGACGAACUCAUAAGUGAUCCGUCCUUGGUACACGGGAUUUGAUC